rnacentral:lncRNA from 1 species
AAAAUAAAAGGCCAGAGGUUCCUUGCUACAAGUUAGGACAGGCGCAAAAUUGCUGUAAUGUAAACUUUUAAGAUAACCACUUCGUCAGUAGGGGGUCGUCUUGGCCUUGUAAGUUAUUUUUUUUUGAAAAUCAUGCAGCGACUGUCAAGAUGAAGUACUUAAAUAAAUCACUAUGUUCUUGCAAUAAUUUGCAUCUUGUCUAUUUGUCAAGAGUGUUCAAAUUGGAAAAAUGAAUGUUACUAGUACUAAGGAAAUGACAUAUUUCAUUGAUCUUCAAUCAAUCACAUGCAUGGCGACAAUUUGUUUUUCAAGGGAACGAGUUCAAUUCAACCACUAUAAAGAACCCUUA